GACAGAGGGUGCAAACGUUGUUCGGAAUUACUGGGCGUAAAGCGCGUGUAGGCGGCCCUGCAAGUCGGGUGUGAAAUCCCACGGCUCAACCGUGGAAGUGCACUCGAAACUGCAGGGCUAGAGUCCUGGAGAGGAAGGUGGAAUGCUUGGUGUAGAGGUGAAAUUCGUAGAUAUCGAGAGGAACACCUGCGGCGAAGGCGGGUUGCUGGGCUGAUACUGACGCUGAUGCGCGAAAGCCAGGGGAGCGAACGGG
rnacentral:rRNA from 1 species